AACACGGAAGUUAAGACCUCCAGGGCCGAUGAUACUUGGGGCGCAAGCCCCUGGGAAAGUAGGUCAUCGCCAGGU
rnacentral:rRNA from 1 species